UACGUAGGGGGCUAGCGUUGUCCGGAAUCAUUGGGCGUAAAGAGCGCGUAGGCGGCCAGAUAAGUCCGGUGUGAAAGUCAAAGGCUCAACCUUUGAAUGCCGCUGGAAACUGUCUGGCUAGAGUCCGGGAGGGGCGAGUGGAAUUCCUGGUGUAGCGGUGGAAUGCGCAGAUAUCAGGAGGAACACCAAUAGCGAAGGCAGCUCGCUGGGACGUUACUGACACUGAGGCGCGAAAGCGUGGGGGAGCGAACAGG
rnacentral:rRNA from 1 species